AUGGGGGUUGGGAGCAUUGAGAACAGAGGAUUUGGGUUUGUGCUUUUCAAGGAUGCUGCUAGUGUGGACAAGGUUUUGGAACUGAAAGAACACAAACUGGAUGGGAAAUUGAUAGACCCCAAAAGGGCCAAAGCUUUAAAGGGGAAAGAACCCCCUAAAAAGGUUUUUGUGGGUGGAUUGAGUCCAGAUACUUCAGAAGAACAAAUUAAAGAAUACUUUGGAGCCUUUGGAGAGAUAGAAAAUAUUGAGCUUCCCAUGGAUACAAAAACAAAUGAAAGAAGAGGAUUCUGUUUUAUCACAUAUACAGAUGAAGAGCCAGUAAAGAAAUUGUUAGAAAGCAGAUACCAUCAAAUAGGUUCUGGGAAGUGCGAAAUCAAAGUUGCACAACCCAAAGAAGUGUACAGGCAGCAGCAGCAGCAACAGAAAGGUGGCAGAGGGGCUGCAGCUGGUGGAAGAGGUGGUGCUAGGGGACGCGGAAGAGGUCAGGGCCAAAACUGGAACCAAGGAUUUAAUAACUAUUAUGAUCAAGGAUAUGGAAAUUAUAAUAGUGCCUAUGGUGGUGAUCAGAACUAUAGUGGCUAUGGCGGCUAUGAUUAUACUGGGUAUAACUAUGGGAACUAUGGAUAUGGACAGGGAUAUGCAGACUACAGCGGUCAGCAGAGCACUUACGGCAAGGCUUCCCGUGGGGGCGGCAAUCACCAGAACAAUUACCAGCCCUACUAAAGGAGGACGCUGGGAGAGCAGGAGGUGUAAAGAAACCAUCUUACAGGACGACAUUGAAGAUUGCUUGAUCUUCUGUUGACCUAAGAUGAUUAUUUUGUAAAAGACUGUAGUGUACGACACAAUUGUGUCCAACUGUAUAUAGCUGCCAAUUAGUUCCUUUGUUUUUACUUUGUCCUUUGCUACCUGUGUUAUGACUCAAUGUGGACUUGUGUUUAUACAAAUUUUUAUUUGUGUGGUUUCAUGUUAAACCUCAAAUAAAUGCUUCCUUAUGUGA